CGUCGCUUUGAUUGCAGGCAUCUCGUUUACACCGAGAGGGUCGGGGGUUCGAGCCCCUCACCGCCCACCA
rnacentral:tRNA from 1 species